rnacentral:rRNA from 1 species
UGGGGAAUAUUGGACAAUGGGCGAAAGCCUGAUCCAGCCAUGCCGCGUGUGUGAAGAAGGUCUUCGGAUUGUAAAGCACUUUAAGUUGGGAGGAAGGGCAGUAAGCGAAUACCUUGCUGUUUUGACGUUACCGACAGAAUAAGCACCGGCUAACUCUGUGCCAGCAGCCGCGGUAAUACAGAGGGUGCAAGCGUUAAUCGGAAUUACUGGGCGUAAAGCGCGCGUAGGUGGUUCGUUAAGUUGAAUGUGAAAGCCCCGGGCUCAACCUGGGAACUGCAUCCAAAACUGGCGAGCUAGAGUACGGCAGAGGGUGGUGGAAUUUCCUGUGUAGCGGUGAAAUGCGUAGAUAUAGGAAGGAACACCAGUGGCGAAGGCGACCACCUGGGCUCGUACUGACACUGAGGUGCGAAAGCGUGGGGAGCAAACAGG